rnacentral:ncRNA from 1 species
GGCUUGGUCCUGACUUUCUAUAAGCUUUAACCCAACUUAUACAUGCAAGUCUCCGCACCCCUGUGAGAAUGCCCUCAAUCCCCCAACCGGGGACUAGGAGCUGGUAUCAGGCACACUCACUAAGCCCAAGACACCUUGCUUACGCCACACCCCCAAGGGAAUUCAGCAGUAAUAAACAUUAAGCCAUAAGUGAAAACUUGACUUAGUUAGGGUUAAGAGGGUCGGUAAAAUCCGUGCCAGCCACCGCGGUUAUACGAAAGACCCCAGUUUACAGAUACGGCGUAAAGGGUGGUUAAGGAAAAAUCAAAAUAAAGCUAAAGAUCCCCUAAGCAGUCAUACGCUCCACGGAGACACGAAAUCCAAAUACGAAAGUUGCCUUAAAUAAAUUACCUGACCCCACGAAAGCUGAAAAACAAACUGGGAUUAGAUACCCCACUAUGCUCAGCCUUAAACCCAGAUGAAAACUUUACAAAAUCAUCCGCCAGGGGACUACAAGCACAGCUUAAAACCCAAAGGACUUGGCGGUGCCUCAGAUCCACCUAGAGGAGCCUGUUCUAGAACCGAUAAUCCCCGUUAAACCUCACCACCUCUUGCCUUUCCCGCCUAUAUACCGCCGUCGUCAGCUUACCCUAUGAAGGCCCAAUAGUAAGCAAAAUGGGUUCAACCCAAAACGUCAGGUCAAGGUGUAGCGCACGAGGUGGGAAGAAAUGGGCUACAUUUUCUAUCACAGAAUACUACGAAUCAUGCCUUGAAAAGGGCAUAUGAAGGAGGAUUUAGCAGUAAAAAGUAAAUAGAGUGUACUUUUGAAUUAGGCUCUGAGGCGCGCACACACCGCCCGUCACUCUCCCCAUCACCACCAACCUAACUAUUUCUAAUAAUUAUGAAACAAUACGGGGAGGCAAGUCGUAACAUGGUAAGUGUACCGGAAGAUGCACUUGGAAUAUC